GAUGAACGCUGGCGGUGUGCAUAAGACAUGCAAGUCGAACGAAACAACUUAUUUCCAUUUAUUCAAUUUUCAAGUUUCAGUAAUGAAAAAUGUUAAAUGACAAAAUGAAAAUUAUUGUUUAGUGGCGGACGGGUGAGUAACACGUUGGUACCUACCCUCUAGUGGGGAAUAACCUCGGGAAACCGAGGCUAAUACCGCAUGUGAUCCUUCGGGAUUAAAGCAGUAAUGCGCUGGAGGAGGGGCCUGCGUCUGAUUAGCUUGUUGGUAAGGUAAUGGCUUACCAAGGCGACGAUCAGUAGCUGGAUCGAGAGGUUGACCAGCCACACUGGGACUGAGAUACGGCCCAGACUCCUACGGGAGGCAGCAGUCAGGAAUCUUCCACAAUGGGCG
rnacentral:rRNA from 1 species